GGUCUCAGCGUGGCCGUUACAUGCGCAUGCGCAUAACCUGGUGUCCUGUGGCAGACUGUCAGCACCAUGAGCGGUGGGACUGAGAGAGCAAAUAAAACAUACCCAGAUUAACCAAGUGGGACGGGGUACAAACACGGUACAGAGGCAGGGCAGACCGGGCCGGAUACUGCAUGGAGAACCGCUGAUCUGAAGCUAACGGAGCUAACAGGCAGUAGACUGUCGGCUGUUAUCUAACGGGGCUAACGGACAGGCCACCGCACCGCACACACCUGUUCUGACACGGGAUAGCUUUAGGAACCCCCGAAUCACAUCCAGUCAGACUGUCUCCCAGUGUCACCACCGGUUUCCGGUGAAGUUCAGGCAGCUAACGUGCUAACUGUCAGUACCGUCACGCCACCCAGGAUAGUCCACUCUGACCCGGUUCGGUUUGAGGACCGGGGACCAGGAUGUUGAUAGCAGUCGGUGCUGGAACCGGAAACUCUGCCACCACUGGCAAGAAACACCGGAGGAGAGGCAAGAAGCACCGGAGAGUCCGAAGAGACGAGAACCG